AAAAUUGCUAGGAAAAAAAAGACUUUAUUUUUUUAUCUUAAUUUUUUAAAUAUUUUUUUUUAUUCCAUGCCAGAAAUGGGCUUCUAUACAAAGAUCGUAUCUGUGUUCACUUUGAGGAGAAUAAAAAUCAGCCUCGCUACACAAAAAAAAACAAUUAACUGUGGUUAAUUGCAGACAUUUCUCUUAUAUCCUAAUGCAUUCUGUGAGAAUGACAGAGCAAGAGGCUACUUCUUAAAACAGUGCAAUAUCAAAUAAUUGUCAUUUUGAUGAUGUAAAAUUAUACAUAACCUCCAGCUUUGUAGCUUGUUUUGAACCAAUUACUCUCGUAUGGCACAUCACUUUUCACCUGAUCCAGAUUCUGUGUGCGACCUCUUGUUUAUCUUUGCUAAAACAGACUUGUGUUGUUUGACUAUCAUUUUUGAACAAUUUUCCUGCCAUUUUCUCGGAACCCCGAGGCAAUUGGGUUGUAUCCAUGAUCAUUUCCACCCAAAAACAAAUGCGCGAGUGUGGAGCCAGAUAUGCUAUUUGGGCCACAAACGCUUCAUGGAGCAAAUUGCCUCAAAGACAGAAGCGUUUACCUUAGCCAGCUAACUACAAUUGAAAAUUCAUUACAGUCUAGUUAUGAUAGGCUAUGCUCAGCUGCGAACACAUGCAGCUCUGAUGGGACACACAAACAUGGCAGUUACAUAAUAGCAGGCAGCAGCUGUGUUAGUGAGAGGUGAAAAAGAUCAAGCUAAGAGCAUGAUGACACUGUGACUAGCUGUGCUGCUUACUAAUGCGUGUAUUAUACAUGCAUGAAUCUGUCUAAUGGACAUGUAAAAUAUGUGAAAGAGGUCAAAUAAUGUGUACCCAACAUCAUCUGGUCUGCACAUCUGUCUCCAAGACAAUAAUUACCAGAGUCGACGCCCGGGCUAUAGAAGAUGCUACAGUAAUGCAUCUGACACAGGACUUAUAGCCUAACAGACUCAUUCAUUGUUUUAUUUUUCUUCACUGAGAAAAAAAAGAGUACAUUUUAUGUUAUCAUUUUUGCUCCUUUGAUGCAUUUUAAAUAAUUAAGCUUAAUUAUGUUACAGUUUUUAGUGUUGUUUUUAUUUUAUUCAAUUUUAAUUAUGUGGUUUUAAAUAUAUUAAGACAGUGAAUUCCUGUCUGUAUAUCAGUAAAUGACAUUUUGGCACUCUUGUUAGUAGUCCUGUGCCAGAAUGCUUUUAUAAGGACAGUAUAUCAUUGUUGUUGGUAAUUAAUGUGGGUUAUAGUUGGGUUUACAGUUUUGUUUAGUGCUACUUUGUAUUAAAUUAAGUUUUAUAUAACCAAUUUGCAGCAUAUAAAAGCAGAUUUAUUAUAGCUUUGUUUGACAGAGUAAUAUUUAUCUGAAAUAUAGAUAAAUCAGUUAUUUAAAAUGAGUAAAAAAGACAUGCAACAAAAAAGAAAAAAGUUAAAACGAAUGAAACAUAACAAUAUACGUCUAGCCUAUAUUGUAUUAAAAUACAACAAAUAACAAUUAAAAGUAUCUUUAAGUGGUUUUUAUAGAAUAGUAUGCAGAAAAUCCUACACACUGAAAUAAUUGUCUUGAGAUUUCUCGCCAGCAAUAUUCUCUGUAAACAGGAAAAUAAACAGUGGCCGCAGACAGAUUUUUCUAUCAAGCAUUUUGCGAGGUCAAACAAAGCUUGCAGUCCAUAUUAGGGAAGCCGAAAGCUGAGAGAGCGAUGGAGGAACUUGAACGAUUUCUUAGCCUGCGUCCCAAUGUGUAUACUACUACCUUUCCGCAGUCUUUUGUUUGUCAUAACCCGCAGCCAAAACAUACUAAAGAAAUAGCUUACAUGAAGACAGAGGAACUUGAAGAGACCACAAAGCAAUGGGACUGUAAAUGAUAAUGGACAUCUAGCGUUUCAUCUCUGGAGGGAACUGACAGUUUCAGCAUUGGGUGGACUCUGAUUGACUGUAAUGUUUUCUUUCUUUCAGCUGAGAUUUUUAGUUCUAGCUAUAGGCUAGUUACUGUUGUAGUUAGUUAGUUUAAUUAAUCGUCAUUGUUAUUGCCACUGACUGACUUCAGUUUCCUAUUUUUUUUCUUCAGUACUGUGGAUGUCAGUGGCAACUGUCUGUUUGGUUGCCAACAUUCUGCAAAUUAUCCUAUUUUGUGCUUAACAGAAGAAAGAAACCCAUACAGGUUUGGAACGACUUGAGGGUAAACACAUGAUAGAUGAAUUUUCGUUUAGGGGUGAACUAGAAAGGGAUGCUCCACCCAAAGAUGAAAAUUCACCUAUCGUUUACUCAGCCUCAUGCUGACCCAAAUGUUUAUGACUGUCCUUCUUCGGAUAAACUCAAGUGAAGUUUUUUAGAAAAAAACACCCCAUCUCUGUAUUGUUUACUAAUUAAAGUGGUUAGAAAUCCAGAAGUCGACGCUUCAAAAACCACACAAGCGAUAACAGUGGUAACACAUAUGACCCAUGUGAAAUGUCUUCUGAAGCGAAACAAUAGGUGUUUAUAAGAAUAAUAUUAAUAAUGACAGUUGGCCAUGUGAUAGUUUAUAUUUUUUCAUACAAAUACCUGUUGUUUCACUUCAGAAGACACUGAUUCAUCUACUGGGAUAUAGGUGUUGGGUGAAGUAUUAAUCUGAGACCGAGGAAGUUCCAGAAUGAUUAAUGUAACUCACUUAUUAAGUCUUUCUUUCUUUCAGAAUCAGUCAUACAUCUGCCGAAUAUGGUGAUCAGUGGUUUAUAAGCAUGUGCAGUUGAAAUAUGAAUUCUGUUGUAACAGAUGCAUAACUGUCAGAUCCUCCCCCAGUCUCACUUGCCGGCUCUGGCUCCCGCUCUGAUUUUCUGAGUUUCCUUUGGAGAAGAGGGUGGUAUGAACACUGACCGUGAUGAUUAAGGAGAGAUGGAGUGGAAUUGUGGAGUGUUUUGCUCUGCUCCAGGCUUUGGAGAUUAAGAGGAUUGAGAUGAGAGCUGAGAUUAACCUCUUCAUUCAUCUGCGACCGAAGCUGUAGCUCCACGAACACAGGACACAUACACAGUUCAUCUAAAACAAAACAAAGACAUUCACUCCUCAUCAGUCCAGGACAGAAGUGGAGGGAUUUGCCACCUAGAGCGAGUGACCUCUCUCACAUUUACAGAAGGAAGGAGUGAAAGGAGGAUUACUGAGGUAAAAUGGGAUGUCAGCAAAAGAAAGUGAUAAGGGGAGAGGAUGAAUGCAGAGUGGAUUGGUGCUGAGAGAAAAAAGAAAGAUGGAACUGAUGACUACAAGGGAUAAAGAAGAACUGGACCUGCCAAAAGAAAAAAGUACUUUUAUGUUUAGCAUUCAAACUCUAGAGCAUGACAUCAUAUCCUGCUGUUCUUAUUCAUUACGGGGUCUGAAAUAAUUUUGAUUUAAAUUAUUUAAAUCUUAAGACUGCCCCUUUAGAUUAAUCGAAUUUCUUUUAAAUUUUGAGAGGAUCAUCACUGAAAUUUGUAUUUUUGAAUCCCAUUUGAUGUAUUACUUUUGUUAGCUUCGAAGUCAUAGUCAUGGAUUGCACUUCAAAACUUAGAAACUGAGAUGAACUUAAGAUAAACUUAAAAAAACUUGAGAUAAACAGAGGUCUUUAAGAGAUUAAGAGAUUCUGCCUGUACUCAAAGACACAUACUCACACACGCACCACAUUUAAGGCUUUACUUUUGGGACAACAAAGGAUGCGCAUCAGCUCUCCUGUAGAAAUUGUGUCUCUCUAAUAGGCUUUGAGAAUGUUUGAACUGACUGCCAUUUCAACAGCAACAAUCAAUAGAUCCUCAUGGGCCAGAGCUCAAGUGUUCAACAGAAGCUUAUUAUGAUCUCUAAAAGCAAGUUUAGAGUUAACAUAAAUAUAUGUAUGUGUGUGUGUGUGUGUGUAAGUCUAAACUUGCUCGUAGAAAUAAAAUAUACACAUUCUUCAAA